rnacentral:rRNA from 1 species
GACGUAGGGCGCGAGCGUUGUCCGGAUUUAUUGGGCGUAAAGAGCUCGUAGGCGGCUCGUUGCGUCGGCUGUGAAAACCCGCAGCUCAACUGUGGGCUUGCAGCUGAUACGGGCGGGCUGGAGUUCGGUAGGGGAGACUGGAAUUCCUGGUGUAGCGGUGAAAUGCGCAGAUAUCAGGAGGAACACCGGUGGCGAAGGCGGGUCUCUGGGACGGUACUGACGCUGAGACGCGAAAGCGUGGGGAGCAAACAGG